UUGUGUAAAUUGUAGUGAUAUGCAUACGAUCCAUACUUCUUCUAAACAACUGCUUUAAUUUCAAUAAAAUAAUUGAUGUAGUAAUAUGCAUAAGAUACUAUUAUUUAAAAUUUAAAUUUUGAAGGAAUUCUUAAAAAGAUAUUGUACCAUUCGUUCUUUUGUUUUUUCUGUUAAAAGUCAGUAUUGUAAAUUAAGCCUGAAGAUGACAGCUAGGACUGUCGAAAACGUUUGCAUUAGUUUAAAGUUUUUUGUCAACUGCUAGUAGUGCUGGUUUAUUGAAUAGUAUUAAUAGUGUCAUGAAAUUUUAUCUGUCUUCAUGAUUUACUGGCCAAACAUCUCACACAUCUCAUAUACGAACCAAAAGACACACCUUCCUCUCUUACACAGGCAUCACUUUCAUGAAAUCCAAGAGCACAAAUACUGGAAACCUAUCACAAUACAGACCAAUCACAUGUCAACACCAUACAAAAUUUUAACCUCAUGUAUCACCAGAAAAAUAUACAGACAUAUCGAAGAAAA
rnacentral:lncRNA from 1 species